UGACUUUCCACUAGAUCCUGGAGACCUCGAGUAGGCUCUAGUUCACGCCAAAGGUGUUCAGAGGGGUUGAGGUCAGGGCUCAGUGCAGCACGCUCCAGUUCUUCCACCUUCACACACCAUGUCUUCAUGGAGCUCGCUUUGCCAUGAUGGAACAGCUGGUCCAGCAUGGCUCUCAUCUGCGCCUGAGCCGACAUCUUCACGGUUUGCCAACUUCCUGCUCUGUCUCUGAACCGCGCGCGCUCGCCUCACCGACUCGGCCUCCAGGAAGCGUGGCGUCAUCGCACCCCGGCGUCUGAUUGGCUGAAACCCGGCUGACGUCACCACCAAGGCUUCCGUUCAACGAUAAUGGGUGCACACGCUAAGCGUGUUCUCUUCUGCACUUGUGAUCAUUCUUUUCAUAACGAACACGUUGUAGGUGAUAAGGUGAUACGCAGCGGUCAAAAGUAUGCGGACACCUGAUCAUCACACCCACAUGUUCCUCAAACUGUUGACACAAUUUGCAUCACACAAUUGUAUAGAAGGUCUUUGUAUGCUGUAGAAUUACAAUUUCCCUUCACUGGAACUAAGAGGCUCCCAAACCUGUUCCAGCAUGACGAUGCCCCUGUGCACAAAGCAAGCUCCAUGAAGACAUGGCGUGUUAAGGUUGGAAGAAGUCGAGUGUCCAGCACGGAGCCCUGACCUCAACCCCAUUGAACACCUUUGGGAUGUACUGGAAGUGGAGCCUCAACCUCAGUAAUGGUCCACAACCACGCUCCAAAAUCUAGUGGAAAUCCUUCCCCGAAGAGCAGAGCUUAUUAUAACAGCAAAUCUGGAAUGGGAUGUUCAACGAGGACAUAUGCGUGUGAUCAUGAGGGGUGCACAUACUUUUCGGCCAUAUUAGUGUAUAUGAAAAUGUUACAUACAGAAACAAAUAGCAUGCAUACAGUACUGUGAGUACAAAAGUCUUCCAAAGAAAAGACAUGUGAAGAUCCAUCCAUCCAUCUUCUACACCGCUUAUCCUUUUCAGGGUCACGGGGAACCUGGAGACUAUCCCAGGGAGCAUGGGGCACAAGGUGGGGUACACCCUGGACAGGGUGCCAGUCCAUCACAGGGCACACUCACACACACAUUCACUACGGACACUUUGGACACGCCAAUCAGCCUACCAUGCAUGUCUUUGGACUGGGGGAGGAAACCGGAGUACCCGGAGGAAGACGUGAAGAUGCCUUCAAAAAUAAUGAAAUGAAAUGUUUCUCCAUUUAAAGUAAUACUAUAUAGAGCAGUAAACGGUAAUAAAUGAAGCAAAGGUGAUAUUUGGUGUGACGAGCCUUUGCUUAAAAAAAAAAAAGUAGUCUCAGGUAGAAUUAGUGCAGUUUUACAACGAAAUGAGCUGUAAGUGUUAUCGAGCAUCUUGCAGAACCAGACACGGUUCUUCUGGAGACUGACUGUCGCACUCGCUUCUUAUUUUUGCAGAGAAACCCGGCAGCCUUCAUUAUGUUUUUCUUUUUUUUCUGAAAAACCUCUCUUACCACUUAAUACUCUGCUUUCUUUACUGACAUACAAACAUGUUUCUGUAACAUUUAAUUCUGUGCUAGAAAACUAAUGUUUGGAAAUGUUUUUGUACUGACUCCAUAAUGCAGAAUUCAUAAAAUAAAAAUCUAUGCCAAAGUACAAAAAAAUAAUAGGGUGCCUAAGACUUUUGCACAGGACUGUUCAUGCUUGAAGAACUAAAGCAAAUGAAGCGAAGUUCAAUAUUUUAAAAUAUUACUACACUACAAUUUAAGUAGUCUCACUGCUGUAUUGAAAAAUAGCGAAAUUACCACUUAAAUUAUAUCGUGAUACACUUUUGAGUGUGUGGUUUGCCAACUGUGUUUCAUUA